rnacentral:rRNA from 1 species
GAUGAACGCUGGCGGCGUGCCUAAUACAUGCAAGUCGAGCGAACAGACGAGAAGCUUGCUCCUCUGACGUUAGCGGCGGACGGGUGAGUAACACGUGGAUAACCUACCUAUAAGACUGGGAUAACUUCGGGAAACCGGAGCUAAUACCGGAUAAUAUUUUGAACCGCAUGGUUCAAUAGUGAAAGACGGUCUUGCUGUCACUUAUAGAUGGAUCCGCGCUGCAUUAGCUAGUUGGUAAGGUAACGGCUUACCAAGGCAACGAUGCGUAGCCGACCUGAGAGGGUGAUCGGCCACACUGGAACUGAGACACGGUCCAGACUCCUACGGGAGGCAGCAGUAGGGAAUCUUCCGCAAUGGGCGAAAGCCUGACGGAGCAACGCCGCGUGAGUGAUGAAGGUCUUCGGAUCGUAAAACUCUGUUAUUAGGGAAGAACAAAUGUGUAAGUAACUGUGCACAUCUUGACGGUACCUAAUCAGAAAGCCACGGCUAACUACGUG